rnacentral:rRNA from 1 species
AGUGAACGCUGGCGGUAGGCCUAACACAUGCAAGUCGAACGGCAGCACAGUAAGAGCUUGCUCUUACGGGUGGCGAGUGGCGGACGGGUGGGGAAUACAUCGGAAUCUACUUUUUCGUGGGGGAUAACGUAGGGAAACUUACGCUAAUACCGCAUACGACCUACGGGUGAAAGCAGGGGAUCUUUGGACCUUGCGCGAUUGAAUGAGCCGAUGUCGGAUUAGCUAGUUGGCGGGGUAAAGGCCCACCAAGGCGACGAUCCGUAGCUGGUCUGAGAGGAUGAUCAGCCACACUGGAACUGAGACACGGUCCAGACUCCUACGGGAGGCAGCAGUGGGGAAUAUUGGACAAUGGGCGCAAGCCUGAUCCAGCCAUACCGCGUGGGUGAAGAAGGCCUUCGGGUUGUAAAGCCCUUUUGUUGGGAAAGAAAAGCAGCAGGUUAAUACCCCGCUGUUCUGACGGUACCCAAAGAAUAAGCACCGGCUAACUUCGUG